rnacentral:tRNA from 1 species
GCCGCCAUAGCUCAGUUGGUAGAGCAACGGUUUCGUAAACCGUAGGUCAGCAGUUCAAAUCUGCUUGGCGGCU